rnacentral:rRNA from 1 species
UCGGACUCAACGCCGGGAAACUCACCAGAUAAGACAGCUGAAUGAUAGUCGGGCUGAAGACUCUACUUGACUAGCUGAGAGGAGGUGCAUGGCCGUCGUCAGUUCGUACUGUGAAGCAUCCUGUUAAGUCAGGCAACGAGCGAGACCCACGCCAACAGUUGCCAGCUCGUCCUCCGGGAUGGAGGGGACACUGUUGGGACCGCCUCUGCUAAAGAGGAGGAAGGAAUGGGCAACGGUAGGUCAGCAUGCCCCGAAUUAUCUGGGCUACACGCGGGCUACAAUGGGUGGGACAAUGGGUAUCGACACCGAAAGGUGAAGGCAAUCUCCUAAACCCAUCCUUAGUUCGGAUUGUGGGCUGCAACUCGCCCACAUGAAGCUGGAAUCUGUAGUAAUCGUGUUUCAAAAUAGCACGGUGAAUAUGUCCCUGCUCCUU